AAUCAACGCUGGCGGCGUGCCUAACACAUGCAAGUCGAACGAGAAAGGGGGCUUCGGUCCCUGAGUACAGUGGCGCACGGGUGAGUAACACGUGACUUAUCUACCCUCGAGUGGGGAAUAACUUCGGGAAACCGAGGCUAAUACCGCAUAAUACCCACGGGUCAAAGGAGCAAUUCGCUUGAGGAGGAGGUCGCGGCCGAUUAGUUAGUUGGCGGGGUAAUGGCCCCACCCAAGACGGUGAUCGGUAUCCGGCCUGAGAGGGCGCACGGACACACUGGAACUGAAACACGGUCCAGACUCCUACGGGAGGCAGCAGUGGGGAAUUUUGCGCAAUGGGGGAAACCCUGACGCAGCAACGCCGCGUGGAGGAUGAAGUCUCUUGGGACGUAAACUCCUUUCGAUCGGGACGAUUAUGACGGUACCGGAAGAAGAAGCCCCGGCUAACUUCGUG
rnacentral:rRNA from 1 species